rnacentral:rRNA from 1 species
AUGUCUCCUCAGCCUACCUUAGCCACCACCACCACGCCUGCUACUGGGCCUAAUGCUUCCUAUUUCCAAGCAGCUCCUGUUAGCCAAGAGACUAUCCAGCGAACGGAGGUUCUUCUCCACCUGUACGCCUACCAGCACGCCCAAGGAAAACCAAAUGCUAACCAGACUGUCAUAGUGGAUCCAAAGCUCCCUGCGUGUUUCGGUGCCCUUGCUGCUAAUCUUGUUGCGCACGCUCAAGGUUUGCACAUUGGUGCUGGUAUGACCAAAGAAAAUUGGUUCAUUUGUUUCAACAUGGUGUUUGUGGACCAAAGGUUUAUGGGUUCCAGCUUCAAGGUGAUGGGAGAUUUUCGAGGAAACGCAGGUGAAUGGGCAAUUGUUGGUGGGACGGGAGAGUUUGCAUAUGCACAAGGUGUCAUAACCUUUAACAAGACCUGGUCGGCCCAGGCAAAUGUUAGGGAGCUUCAUGUUCGUGCUUUGUGUCUCUCCUUCUCAAAAGCACCGGAAACACCUUGCUCAAGGACACCACGACAGAGCUCUGUCACCAAGAUCGGCCCAUGGGGUAAAAUAAGUGGAGAAUUUCUUGACGUUCCCACGACACCGCAACGUCUAAAGUGUGUGACCAUCCGCCAUGGAGUUGUCAUUGAUUCACUUGCAUUUUCCUUCGUCGACCAAGCUGGUGGACAACAUAACGUUGGCCCAUGGGGUGGGCCAUGCGGGCACAACAAGGACACAAUCGAGCUUGCUCCAUCGGAGAUUGUGACAGAAGUCUCUGGAACAAUUGGUGUAUUUGGAGAAGCCAAUGUCGAGUACAAUGCCAUAACAUCACUAACCAUUACCACAAAUGUCCGGACGUACGGGCCCUUUGGAGAACCGCAGUGUACUCGUUUCAGUGUUCCCGUGCAGGACAAUAGCAGCAUCGUGGGUUUCUUCGUGUGCGCUCUGAAAUACGUGGAGGCGCUCGGGGUUUACGUGUGUCCACCUGUUUCAAACUAG